GAUGAACGCUAGCGGCAGGCCUAAUACAUGCAAGUCGAGGGGCAGCGGGGUAGCAAUACUGCCGGCGACCGGCGCACGGGUGCGUAACACGUAUGCAACCUACCUUAAACUGGGAGAUAGCCCGGGGAAACUCGGAUUAAUACCCCAUAACACAGCGAUACCACAUGGUGAUGUUGUUAAAGAUUUAUCGGUUUAAGAUGGGCAUGCGUUCGAUUAGCUAGUUGGUAAGGUAAUGGCUUACCAAGGCUACGAUCGAUAGGGGGUCUGAGAGGAUGAUCCCCCACACUGGUACUGAGAUACGGACCAGACUCCUACGGGAGGCAGCAGUAGGGAAUAUUGGUCAAUGGAGGCAACUCUGAACCAGCCAUGCCGCGUGUAGGAAGAAGGCGUUCUGCGUUGUAAACUACUUUUGAUUGGGAACAAAUGACUCUUGCGAGAGUAGCUGAGUGUACCAAUAGAAUAAGCCACGGCUAACUACGUG
rnacentral:rRNA from 1 species